rnacentral:rRNA from 1 species
GACGAACCGUGCGAACGUUGUUCGGAAUCACUGGGCUUAAAGGGCGCGUAGGCGGUCUGUCAAGUCUGGGGUGAAAUGCCACGGCUCAACCGUGGAACUGCCUCAGAUACUGACGGCCUCGAGGAAGGUAGGGGCAUGCGGAACUGUAGGUGGAGCGGUGAAAUGCGUUGAUAUCUACAGGAACACCGGUGGCGAAAGCGGCGUGCUGGACCUUUUCUGACGCUGAGGCGCGAAAGCCAGGGGAGCAAACGGG